UACGUAGGGUGCGAGCGUUGUCCGGAAUUAUUGGGCGUAAAGAGCGCGUAGGCGGUCUGACAAGUCCCCUGUGAAAGCCCCCGGCUUAACCGGGGAACUGCAUGGGAUACUGUUGGGCUAGAGUGCAGGAGGGGAGAGCGGAAUUCCUGGUGGAGCGGUGAAAUGCGUAGAUAUCAGGAGGAACGCCGGCGGCGAAAGCGACUCUCUGGCCUGUAACUGACGCUGAGGCGCGAAAGCUAGGGGAGCAAACGGG
rnacentral:rRNA from 1 species